rnacentral:rRNA from 1 species
UACGUAGGGCGCAAGCGUUGUCCGGAAUUAUUGGGCGUAAAGAGCUCGUAGGCGGCCUGUUGCGUCCGCUGUGAAAACCCGGGGCUUAACCCCGGGCUUGCAGUGGAUACGGGCUGGCUAGAGGCAGGCAGGGGAGAACGGAAUUCCUGGUGUAGCGGUGAAAUGCGCAGAUAUCAGGAGGAACACCGGUGGCGAAGGCGGUUCUCUGGGCCUGUACUGACGCUGAGGAGCGAAAGCGUGGGGAGCGAACAGG